rnacentral:rRNA from 1 species
UCAUCGAGCGUGAAAUCGAGUAGGGCGGGACACGUGAUAUCCUGUCUGAAUAUGGGGGGACCAUCCUCCAAGGCUAAAUACUCCUGACUGACCGAUAGUGAACCAGUACCGUGAGGGAAAGGCGAAAAGAACCCCUGUGAGGGGAGUGAAAUAGAACCUGAAACCGUGUACGUACAAGCAGUAGGAGCACCUUCGUGGUGUGACUGCGUACCUUUUGUAUAAUGGGUCAGCGACUUAUAUUCAGUGGCAAGGUUAACCGUAUAGGGGAGCCGUAGCGAAAGCGAGUCUUAACUGGGCGCUCAGUCUCUGGAUAUAGACCCGAAACCGGGUGAUCUAGCCAUGGGCAGG